rnacentral:rRNA from 1 species
GAUGAACGCUAGCGGCAGGCCUAAUACAUGCAAGUCGGACGGGAUUCAGGAGCUUGCUUCUGAUGAGAGUGGCGCACGGGUGCGUAACACGUAUGUAACCUACCUUUAUCAGGGGGAUAGCCUCUCGAAAGAGAGAUUAAGCCCGCAUAAAAUCACAGCACAGCAUUGUGUAAUGAUCAAAUAUUUAUAGGAUAAAGAUGGGCAUGCGGAACAUUAGCUAGAUGGCGGGGUAACGGCCCACCAUGGCGACGAUGUUUAGGGGAUCUGAGAGGAUGGCCCCCCACACUGGUACUGAGACACGGACCAGACUCCUACGGGAGGCAGCAGUAAGGAAUAUUGGUCAAUGGGCGGAAGCCUGAACCAGCCAUGCCGCGUGCAGGAAGACGGCCCUACGGGUUGUAAACUGCUUUUAGACGGGAAUAAACCCAGAUACGUGUAUCUGGCUGAAUGUACUGUAAGAAUAAGGAGCGGCUAACUCCGUG